rnacentral:rRNA from 2 species
UUGUAUGGUUAAGUGACUAAGCGCACAAGGUGGAUGCCUUGGCAAUCAGAGGCGAAGAAGGACGUGCUAAUCUGCGAAAAGCUUGGAUGAGUUGAUAAGAAGCGUUUAAUCCAAGAUAUCCGAAUGGGGAAACCCGAUAGGUGAAGAACCUAUCAUUUCAUUGUGAAUUCAUAGCAAUGAAAGGCGAACCGGGAGAACUGAAACAUCUAAGUACCCCGAGGAAAAGAAAUCAACCGAGAUUCUGUAAGUAGCGGCGAGCGAAAGCGGAGUAGCCAGUAAGUGAUAGCAAUGAUAUUAGAGGAAUUGGCUGGGAAGCCAAAUCAUAGAGGGUGAUAAUCCCGUACUUGAAAGUAUUAUUGUGGUACUAAGUUUACGAGAAGUAGGGCGGGACACGAGAAAUCCUGUUUGAAGAUGGGGGGACCAUCCUCCAAGGCUAAAUACUCCUGAUUGACCGAUAGUGAACCAGUACUGUGAAGGAAAGGCGAAAAGAACCCCGGUGAGGGGAGUGAAAUAGAACCUGAAACCUUGUGCGUACAAGCAGUGGGAGCCUGUAAGGGUGACUGCGUACCUUUUGUAUAAUGGGUCAGCGACUUAUAUUUUGUAGCGAGGUUAACUGAAUAAGGGAGCCGAAGGGAAACCGAGUCUUAACUGGGCGUUAAGUUGCAAGGUAUAGACCCGAAACCCGGUGAUCUAGCCAUGGGCAGGUUGAAGGUUGGGUAACACUAACUGGAGGACCGAACCGACUAAUGUUGAAAAAUUAGCGGAUGACUUGUGGCUGGGGGUGAAAGGCCAAUCAAACUGGGAGAUAGCUGGUUCUCCCCGAAAUCUAUUUAGGUAGAGCCUUGAGCGGACACCUUCGGGGGUAGAGCACUGUUUCGGCUAGGGGGCCAUCCCGGCUUACCAACCCGAUGCAAACUGCGAAUACCGAAGAGUGAUACUCAGGAGACACACGGCGGGUGCUAACGUCCGUCGUGGAGAGGGAAACAACCCAGACCGCCAGCUAAGGUCCCAAAGUCUAUAUUAAGUGGGAAACGAAGUGGGAAGGCUUAGACAGCUAGGAUGUUGGCUUAGAAGCAGCCAUCAUUUAAAGAAAGCGUAAUAGCUCACUAGUCGAGUCGGCCUGCGCGGAAGAUGUAACGGGGCUAAAAUAUAGCACCGAAGCUGCGGCAUCAGGCGUAUCACUAAUACGCCUUAGAUUAACAACAUGGAAUGAAACGAAGUGGAAUGAAAUGUUGGUCAAGCAACCCGAACGUUGAGUCGGAUUGAAAUCGAAGAAAGGAAUAUUAGUGAUACGCCUGUUGGGUAGGGGAGCGUCGUGUAAGCGGAAGAAGGUGAAUCGAGAGGUUUGCUGGACGUAUCACGAGUGCGAAUGCUGACAUAAGUAACGAUAAAACGAGUGAAAAACUCGUUCGCCGGAAGACCAAGGGUUCCUGUCCAACGUUAAUCGGGGCAGGGUGAGUCGGCCCCUAAGGCGAGGCUGAAAAGCGUAGUCGAUGGGAAACGGGUUAAUAUUCCCGUACUUGGAUAAACUGCGAUGUGGGGACGGAGAAGGUUAGGUAAGCAGACUGUUGGAUGUCUGUUUAAGCAGGUAGUUGGGGUAGGUAGGCAAAUCCGCUUACCCAGUUAAACAACGAGAAGUGAUGACGAGUCUCUAAGGAGAUGAAGUUACUGAUACCACGCUUCCAGGAAAAGCCACUAAGCUUCAGGUUUAUCUAAACCGUACUGAAAACCGACACAGGUGGUCAGGUAGAGAAUACUCAGGCGCUUGAGAGAACUCGGGUGAAGGAACUAGGCAAAAUAGCACCGUAACUUCGGGAGAAGGUGCGCCGGCGUAGAUUGUAAUCCCUUGCGGAUGAAGGUUGAACCGGUCGAAGAUACCAGCUGGCUGCAACUGUUUAUUAAAAACACAGCACUCUGCAAACACGAAAGUGGACGUAUAGGGUGUGAUGCCUGCCCGGUGCUGGAAGGUUAAUUGAUGGUGUUAUCGAAAGAGAAGCUCCUGAUCGAAGCCCCAGUAAACGGCGGCCGUAACUAUAACGGUCCUAAGGUAGCGAAAUUCCUUGUCGGGUAAGUUCCGACCUGCACGAAUGGCAUAAUGAUGGCCAGGCUGUCUCCACCCGAGACUCAGUGAAAUUGAAAUCGCCGUGAAGAUGCGGUGUACCCGCGGCUAGACGGAAAGACCCCGUGAACCUUUACUAUAGCUUGACACUGAACAUUGAAUUUUGAUGUGUAGGAUAGGUGGGAGGCUUUGAAGCAGUCACGCCAGUGAUUGUGGAGCCAUUGUUGAAAUACCACCCUUUAACGUUUGAUGUUCUAACGAAGUACCUGAAACGGGUACUCGGACAGUGUCUGGUGGGUAGUUUGACUGGGGCGGUCUCCUCCCAAAGAGUAACGGAGGAGCACGAAGGUUUGCUAAUGACGGUCGGACAUCGUCAGGUUAGUGCAAUGGUAUAAGCAAGCUUAACUGCGAGACAGACAAGUCGAGCAGGUGCGAAAGCAGGUCAUAGUGAUCCGGUGGUUCUGAAUGGAAGGGCCAUCGCUCAACGGAUAAAAGGUACUCCGGGGAUAACAGGCUGAUACCGCCCAAGAGUUCAUAUCGACGGCGGUGUUUGGCACCUCGAUGUCGGCUCAUCACAUCCUGGGGCUGAAGUAGGUCCCAAGGGUAUGGCUGUUCGCCAUUUAAAGUGGUACGCGAGCUGGGUUUAGAACGUCGUGAGACAGUUCGGUCCCUAUCUGCCGUGGGCGUUGGAGAAUUGAGGGGGGCUGCUCCUAGUACGAGAGGACCGGAGUGGACGCAUCACUGGUGUUCCAGUUGUCUCGCCAGAGGCAUUGCUGGGUAGCUACAUGCGGAAGAGAUAAGUGCUGAAAGCAUCUAAGCACGAAACUUGCCUUAAGAUGAGUUCUCCCUGACUAUAAGUCAGUAAGGGUUGUUGGAGACUACGACGUAGAUAGGUGUGGUGUGUAAGUGUAGUGAUACAUUGAGCUAACACAUACUAAUUGCCCGAGAGGCUUAACCAUACAAUCUUGAGUGUUUUG